rnacentral:rRNA from 1 species
GACGAACGCUGGCGGCGUGCCUAAUACAUGCAAGUUGAGCGAUGAAGCUUGGUGCUUGCACCAAUUUGCAGAGCAGCGAACGGGUGAGUAACGCGUGGGGAAUCUGCCUUUGAGCGGGGGACAACAUUUGGAAACGAAUGCUAAUACCGCAUAAUAACUUUAAACAUAAGUUUUAAGUUUGAAAGAUGCAAUUGCAUCACUCAAAGAUGAUCCCGCGUUGUAUUAGCUAGUUGGUGAGGUAAAGGCUCACCAAGGCGAUGAUACAUAGCCGACCUGAGAGGGUGAGCGGCCACAUUGGGACGGAGACGCGGCCCAAACUCCUACGGGAGGCAGCAGUAGGGAAGCUUCGGCAAUGGAAGAAAGUCUGACCGAGCAACGCCGCGUGAGUGAAGAAGGUUUUCGGAUCGUAAAAAUCUGUUGGUAGAGAAGAACGUUGGUGAGAGUGGAAAGCUCAUCAAGUGACGGUAACUACACAGAAAGGGACGGCUAACUACGUG